CUCUGUUAACUUGUGCAGAAGGUCUGUUGUUGUAAACAUCCCCGACUGGAAGCUGUACCACACAGCUAAGCUUUCAGUCAGAUGUUUGCUGCUACCGGCUAUUCGCAGACGUCAUUUCAGUG
rnacentral:precursor_RNA from 8 species